rnacentral:sRNA from 1 species
AAUAUACUUCAGAGUGUGCUCUCACAUCGAACACUUCUCAUUCAGUCUAGAGUCUAGGAUCGUUGGGAUACGAACGCAAAAUAAAGCAAACAAAAUUUUGUAUAAUCGUAAUUUUCUGUUAAAAAAAAUUUCGUUCAAAAUUAAAAAGAAAGAUGCCAUCAGAAAGGGAUCCAUGUUCCGUCUGCCUGUGCAGGAUGCGCUGCCGGGUGCAGACGCCGUGUAAGCAUUCCUUCUGCCGGCGCUGCCUGCACCGCUGCUACUACGAGUGCGCCAACAAAAACUGCCCCCUGUGCCGGGCUCCCUUCGAUUAUUAUUUGCGCAAGAACCGCAGAUACAUCAACGUUGUCUUUCUCAACUAAAAAUGCAAACGGACAAAAUGCAGUAGGCUAAUGGUGACCCGUCUCUCCGCAUGGUCUCGUUAAAUUCGUUAAAAUCAGAUUGCUUUUGUUUAAGAGUUGUUAGUUUUUUUUGCGGUUUAAAUGUUUAAAUUCAGUUUUCUUUUGUUUUUUAAAGCCAUGGAAUCUUGUGAUUUUUUGGUGGGUUCUUUAAAGAUAUUACUAUAUUUUUUACAUUUGGCAGAAUAUAGAAUACUAGGGGAAAAGACCGCUGAACAGUCGAUUCGUUCAUCUGCCGAUAUGGGACUUCGACGAUCCAAAACUUUUGGAGAUAUAUAAUGGAGAGAUAAUUCUGUGAUUCUCAGACGAGACCAUUCAGGUCUGAAAAAAAAGGUUCUGUGACUUGGAGGAUGGAAGGAAGCAUACCUUUGAAAGGAGGAAUCCUUAAAUACAUGUAUAUAUCCUAUAGAUUGAAAGCAGCACUUGAACGCCCCCUGCCUAAUAAAUAGCGGUAAUUGAA